AAAUUGAAGAGUUUGAUCAUGGCUCAGAUUGAACGCUGGCGGCAGGCCUAACACAUGCAAGUCGAGCGGAAACGGCAGCAUUGAAGCUUCGGUGGAUUUGCUGGRCGUCGAGCGGCGGACGGGUGAGUAACGGCUGGGAAYCUGCCCUGACGMGGGGGAUAACCGUUGGAAACGACGGCUAAUACCGCAUAAUGUCUUCGGACCAAAGGUGGCCUCUACAUGUAAGCUAUCGCGUUGGGAUGGGCCCAGUUAGGAUUAGCUAGUUGGUAAGGUAAUGGCUUACCAAGGCGACGAUCCUUAGCUGGUUUGAGAGGAUGAUCAGCCACACUGGGACUGAGACACGGCCCAGACUCCUACGGGAGGCAGCAGUGGGGAAUAUUGCACAAUGGGGGAGACC
rnacentral:rRNA from 1 species